AUUGAACGCUGGCGGAAUGCUUUACACAUGCAAGUCGAACGGCAGCACGGGGGCAACCCUGGUGGCGAGUGGCGAACGGGUGAGUAAUACAUCGGAACGUGCCCGGUCGUGGGGGAUAACGUAGCGAAAGUUACGCUAAUACCGCAUACGAUCUGAGGAUGAAAGCGGGGGACCUUCGGGCCUCUCGCGAUCGGAGCGGCCGAUGUCAGAUUAGGUAGUUGGUGGGGUAAAGGCCUACCAAGCCGACGAUCUGUAGCUGGUCUGAGAGGACGACCAGCCACACUGGGACUGAGACACGGCCCAGACUCCUACGGGAGGCAGCAGUGGGGAAUUUUGGACAAUGGGCGCAAGCCUGAUCCAGCCAUUCCGCGUGCAGGACGAGGGCCUUCGGGUUGUAAACUGCUUUUGUAUGGAACGAAAAGGCUCUGGCUAAUACCUGGGGCUCAUGACGGUACCGUAAGAAUAAGCACCGGCUAACUACGUG
rnacentral:rRNA from 1 species